UAAAACCGAAUAUGAUUAAUUUCGUUUUUUUUUCGGAACUGAUCGGAAUUUACAAAUUUUUAAAAUAUCAUUUGACUUACUUGCUUUUCCUUCUUAUAUUGGACACACUGUAUAUAUAUUACAUUACCAUAAGGAGCGAAAGGGGCGAAGGGCAGAGAUGAAGGUAAGGUAAUAUCACUUCACAGUCACAUAUUGUAGGUACCUGUAGCACUUGGCACCUCUGUAAAUUAGCCAUGCUCAAACCAAGGACGUUAAAAAAAUACCACGUCAAUGGCCCAAGCUAACAAAACAAGUAUGCAUAACAUAUUCAAUGCCUGUAGGUAAAUACUUAUGUUACUAUUAAUGCUGUACCUAAACAGAUUUUAGACCUACAAAAAUAAAAUAGAGUGUAACAUACUUUUUGAUAAAGUUAUUAUUCUUAGAUAUGGACGGAGAUGGUGGGACACAAUUUGUUAAAAUCGAACCAAAACAGGAAGAAGGAAUCCAUUCCUCUCUUCAGGGAAAUAUUUGGGUGGGCAACGAUGCUUUUGGUAUAA